CCUACGGGUGGCUGCAGUGGGGAAUAUUGCACAAUGGACGAAAGUCUGAUGCAGCAACGCCGCGUGGAGGAUGACACAUUUCGGUGCGUAAACUCCUUUUAUAUGUCAAGAUAAUGACGGUAGCCUAUGAAUAAGCGCCGGCUAACUCCGUGCCAGCAGCCGCGGUAAUACGGAGGGCGCAAGCGUUACUCGGAAUCACUGGGCGUAAAGAGCGUGUAGGCGGAUUGAUAAGUUCGAAGUGAAAUCCAAUAGCUUAACUAUUGAACUGCUUUGAAAACUGUUGAUCUAGAGUGUGGGAGAGGUAGAUGGAAUUUCUGGUGUAGGGGUAAAAUCCGUAGAUAUCAGAAGGAAUACCGAUUGCGAAGGCGAUCUACUGGAACACAACUGACGCUGAGACGCGAAAGCGUGGGGAGCAAACAGGCUUAGAUACCCCGGUAGUC
rnacentral:rRNA from 1 species